rnacentral:rRNA from 1 species
UACGAAGGGUGCAAACGUUGCUCGGAAUCAUUGGGCGUAAAGCGCACGUAGGCGGCCUUGUAAGUCGGAUGUGAAAUCCCACGGCUCAACCGUGGACGUGCAUUCGAAACUGCUCGGCUCGAGUAUGGAAGAGGGUCGCGGAAUUCCCGGUGUAGAGGUGAAAUUCGUAGAUAUCGGGAGGAACACCGGUGGCGAAGGCGGCAUCCUGGACCAACACUGACGCUGAGGAGCGAAAGCCAGGGGAGCAAACGGG